ACACAUAUAUGUCAUCACAAGGACUUUUUCAAGGCUUAUAACUUGGCUGGGCUUAACAAGAAAUAUUGGUUUUUCAGAUCACAAAAUCCUUGAGUUAAGAGAGUUAUUCAAUAUUCAUAGUUCAAACACAACUCUCUUUCAACCAAUCUACUUAUUCCCAACUUUUCCCUUUUUCUUUUGCAUUGAGCUUUAUCUUUCACGCUUUUCUUUUUAUUUUCUAUUCUUCUCAUGCUUUUAUCAUUCAACACAUUUUACUCAAUGCUUUUUCUUUUGCCUUUCAACUUCCCCCAACAACCCCAAACUUGAACCUUUAUCAAUACCAUAAAAUAUUUCUAUACAUAACUCAAGGUAAAGAUUU
rnacentral:lncRNA from 1 species